CCAAUCCCUUUCCAUUUUGACUGGCCGUUUAUGUGCAUACGGGAAGCUCAUAUGCAUAUACAGGCCCAUGCUGCUGCAAGACCGGCCCUCUUAAGACUUUCCUCAAGACUGCGUUUGUGUGCACACAGUUCCACGUACUUGCCCAUCAUCAUUUAAAAUGGCUCAUCCUUCAGGACAAAGCAUUGGAGGAAAUUACAAAAGGAUCUGGAUUGUGGGCUCAAGCCUCAUACGUCGUGCUGAACCAAGGGCUGUCCAAACCAUGGGGAGAAACCUGGGGCUCAACGCCACAGUAUCUUGGUUUGGACAGGGAGGCCUGCGCUGGAGCAGUGUACUACCAUUGCUCUACAAACAGCUGUCCACCCAGACACCACCUGACAUACUGGUGGUCCAUGCUGGAGGAAAUGAUUUGGGCAAGGUGAAGACCAUAGAAUUGGUCAAAAGAAUGAAGACAGACCUGACACGUAUACAGAGAGACUUCAAGAACACAGAAAUCAUUUUCUCCUGUAUUGCACAGCGGCGGGACUGGAGAAAUGCGAACCCCGCCAAAAUUAACAAGGCUUGUAUCUGGGUAAAUAAUGUAAUGACAGUCUUCAUCAGAGGUUUGGGUGGGGCAUCUAUUCCACACACUGAAAUAAAAUAUAAUCAACCGGAACAGUUUUUAAGGGAUGGGGUACAUUUAUCUGCACUUGGCAAUGAUGUAUUCUUAAAUAAUUUCAACCUUGCACUGCUCAGAUUGUGUGAAUGACACCAUUGCAGUUCAGACCCAAUGUUGUUUUUAGCUCUUCUUUUUACAACACAUUGUUAAUAUUGAAAU